rnacentral:rRNA from 1 species
UACGUAGGGUGCAAGCGUUGUCCGGAAUUAUUGGGCGUAAAGAGCUCGUAGGCGGUUUGUCGCGUCUGCUGUGAAAACUCGGGGCUCAACCCCGAGCUUGCAGUGGGUACGGGCAGACUAGAGUGCGGUAGGGGAGACUGGAAUUCCGGGUGUAGCGGUGAAAUGCGUAGAUAUCCGGAGGAACACCGGUGGCGAAGGCGGCUUCCUGGACCGACACUGACGCUGAGGCGCGAAAGCUAGGGGAGCAAACGGG